rnacentral:sRNA from 1 species
CGGCGGCGACGGCGCGGAGGCCCCGGGCGCGGCGCAGAUGAGUUCCUGUCCAGUCUGGAGAGCUAUGAGAUCGCCUUCCCCACCCGCGUGGACCACAAUGGGGCACUGCUGGCCUUCUCGCCACCUCCUCCCCGGAGGCAGCGCCGGGGCACGGGGGCCACAGCCGAGUCCCGCCUCUUCUACAAAGUGGCCUCGCCCAGCACCCACUUCCUGCUGAACCUGACCCACAGCUCCCGUCUACUGGCAGGGCACGUCUCCGUGGAGUACUGGACACGGGAGGGCCUGGCCUGGCAGAGGGCCGCCCGGCCCCACUGCCUCUACGCUGGUCACCUGCAGGGCCAGGCCAGCAGCUCCCAUGUGGCCAUCAGCACCUGUGGAGGCCUGCACGGCCUGAUUGUGGCAGACGAGGAAGAGUACCUGAUUGAGCCCCUGCACGGCGGGCCCAAGGGUUCUCGGGGCCCGGAGGAAAGUGGACCACAUGUGGUAUACAAGCGUUCCUCUCUGCGUCACCCCCACCUGGACACAGCCUGUGGAGUGAGAGAUGAGAAACCGUGGAAAGGGCGGCCAUGGUGGCUGCGGACCUUGAAGCCACCGCCUGCCAGGCCGCUGGGGAAUGAAACAGAGCGUGGCCAGCCAGGCCUGAAGCGAUCGGUCAGCCGAGAGCGCUACGUGGAGACCCUGGUGGUGGCUGACAAGAUGAUGGUGGCCUAUCACGGGCGCCGGGAUGUGGAGCAGUAUGUGCUGGCCAUCAUGAACAUUGUCAGGUUGCCAAACUUUUCCAGGACUCGAGUCUGGGAAGCACCGUUAACAUCCUCGUAACUCGCCUCAUCCUGCUC